AUGUCAAAAAACGAAACAAAACUAAGAUACAAAAAUAAAGAAAAACAAAGCACAAACGUUUCUGCUGAGUCUCACUCACCACGUUGGGGUCUUGUUCUAGACAGAAUUUCUGUUAUCCAAACUGCAAGAGUCAGAAAAAUGCCUAAAAGAGCAAUAAGGCAAGGAAGACGAAUGUUCAGGAGCUCUCGGUAUUUCUGUGGAGCCAGGAGAGAGCAACAGAUUCAACAUCUUCCCAAAACUGAACUAGAUGAAAAGGAUCGCUUUGAUCUUCUGCUUCCCCCUCGGAUACACGCAAGCUUUUUGUGGUCUUAACAAAAGCAUUUCCUCAGCCGACCCUCACUUCAUCUUACUACCUUCGUUGCAAGUCAAAUUUUCA
rnacentral:lncRNA from 1 species